rnacentral:rRNA from 1 species
GACGAACGCUGGCGGCGUGCUUAACACAUGCAAGUCGAACGGUGAAGCGCCUUCCUUUUUGGUGGGUGUGGAUGAGUGGCGAACGGGUGAGUAACACGUGAGUAACCUGCCCCCUUCUUCUGGAUAACCGCAUGAAAGUGUGGCUAAUACGGGAUAUUCUGGGUCUGUCGCAUGAUGGGUCUGGGAAAGAUAUUGUUUCGGUGGGGGAUGGGCUCGCGGCCUAUCAGCUUGUUGGUGGGGUGAUGGCCUACCAAGGCGGUGAUGGGUAGCCGGCCUGAGCGGGUGGACGAUCACACUGGGAAGGAGACACGGCCCAGACUCCGACGGGAGGCAGCAGUGAGGAAUAUUGCACAAUGGGCGCAAGCCUGAUGCAGCGACGCCGCGUGAGAGAUGGAGGCCUGCGGGUUGUGAACCUCUUUCGCCAGUGAAGCAGGCCUGCCUCGUUUGUGGGUGGGUUGACGGUAGCUGGAUAAGAAGCGCCGGCUAACUACGUG